GGAUAACCUACCCUUAGGACCGGGAUAACCCUGGGAAACUGGGGAUAAUACUGGAUAGGCAAUUUUUCCUGUAAUGGUUUUUUGUUUAAAUGUUUUUUCGCCUAAGGAUGGGUCUGCGGCCGAUUAGGUAGUUGGUUAGGUAAUGGCUUACCAAGCCGUUGAUCGGUACGGGUUGUGAGAGCAAGAGCCCGGAGAUGGAACCUGAGACAAGGUUCCAGGCCCUACGGGGUGCAGCAGGCGCGAAACCUCCGCAAUGUGAGAAAUCGCGACGGGGGGAUCCCAAGUGCUAUUCUUAACGGGAUGGCUUUUCAUUAGUGUAAAGAGCUUUUGGAAUAAGGGCUGGGCAAGACCGGUGCCAGCCGCCGCGGUAACACCGGCAGCUCUAGUGGUAGCAGUUUUUAUUGGGCCUAAAGCGUCCGUAGCCGGUUUAAUGAGUCUCUGGUGAAAUCCUGUAGCUUAACUGUGGGAAUUGCUGGAGAUACUAUUAGACUUGAGACCGGGAGAGGUUAGAGGUACUCCCAGGGUAGAGGUGAAAUUCUGUAAUCCUGGGAGGACCGCCUGUUGCGAAGGCGUCUAACUGGAACGGUUCUGACGGUGAGGGACGAAAGUUAGGGGCGCGAACCGGAUUAGAUACCCGGGUAGUCCUAACUGUAAACGAUGCGGACUUGGUGUUGGGGUGGCUUUGAGCUGCUCCAGUGCCGAAAGGGAAGCUGUUAAGUCCGCCGCCUGGGAAG
rnacentral:rRNA from 1 species